AUACGGAGGGGGCUAGCAUUGUUCGGAAUUACUGGGCGUAAAGCGCACGUAGGCGGAUCAGAAAGUCAGAGGUGAAAUCCCAGGGCUCAACCUUGGAACUGCCUUUGAAACUCCUGGUCUUGAGGUCGAGAGAGGUGAGUGGAAUUCCGAGUGUAGAGGUGAAAUUCGUAGAUAUUCGGAGGAACACCAGUGGCGAAGGCGGCUCACUGGCUCGAUACUGACGCUGAGGUGCGAAAGCGUGGAGAGCAAACAGGAUUAGAUACCCUGGUAGUCCACGCCGUAAACGAUGAAUGCCAGACGUCGGGUAGCAUGCUAUUCGGUGUCACACCUAACGGAUUAAGCAUUCCGCCUGGGGAGUACGGCCGCAAGGUUAAA
rnacentral:rRNA from 1 species